rnacentral:rRNA from 1 species
AUCAAAUGAUUAAUCAGCGAUGGAAUAGGCAACAUAUUAAUCACUUCAAAACCUACUCGACCAAUACGGCGAACAGCCCAAUUCGAUAAUGUUCCACCAUGACGUAUUUGCACAUCCAGACUUUCAUCCAUUUGGCGUAAGCGCAAGAACUUUUCUUGUCCAAUGCGGCAUUCCAAUACUCGAAAAUCUAAACUUAGGCGAUAUAGGAAACGGUGAUAGUGUCCAUCGAUUUCAACCUGAAACCGAUCAUUGCCACAUUGAACUUUAAUAUCAUCAAUUUCAGAACGAUCUAUGCGUUUACGAAUUUGACUGUUUAAUAGCAUUUCAGGCAAAUACAAAUUCAAGGUACUUUUACCUAGAAAAGUACGUGCCAUGAUUAAGGCAACCUGUCUUGCAGUUUCACUUGUUUCAGACACCAUAUCUCUGACAGUCCCUGCUGCCAGAUUGGUCAUGCCCACCACUCCACGCUUUGUAUGAGAGGUCACUUGAUCUAAAGCAUCUAGGGCUGCAUCAGCAACUUCAGCAAGAUUACGUGUAGUAUCACUAGCAAACCCGACGGCAUCUUGUGCAUGCUGUAAUGUUUUAUGCAGCAAACGGCGUGAGAAUGACAGUUUUAUAGGGUCAGGAUUCCCUGAAACUGUUGAUGUCGUUGUAGGCUUCGACUUAUUGUCAUCUUCUUGACCCAAGUCCCUCUCCUUUUUAUAUUUCUUUCACAUCCUAUUAAUGAGCAUUUCAGCUCAUUUCCAGUGUUGGACACACUUGGUUUUUAUCUAGAUUAGCAUGCUCUACAGUAUUAUUUUAAUUUUUAUGUGUACGCAUAAAUCAUCGUUUUUUUAUAUAUCCUUGUUUCAAAAAAGUAUUUUAUAUCGGAUAUUCACCUCAACUUUUUAAUCAGCUACAAAUUUUUUUCUUUCUUUGUAUUUCCGUUAGAAUAGAUUCAAACUUAAUGUGGAGCUGUCAUGCAAUAUCGUUGCCCUCAAUGUCAAAGUGUUAAAAUUAUGCCGGUGAGCCAAGGUGUUAAUAGUGCUAAACCUGUUGUGCCUAAAAGCUUAGUGAUUUUAGUUCCUGCCAUUUUUGUACU